GUGGGUAAAGCUCAGUGGUAGAGUGUGUGCUUAGCAUGCACGAGGUUCUGGGUUCAAUCCCCAGUACCUCCA
rnacentral:tRNA from 1 species